GCUGAUAUUAUUGUAGAAAAAUACAAAGGAGCCCUUAACAUUACUGUUCAGUUCAAUAAGUUAGAAAAUCAAUUUUCAAAGGAAGCAAUGAAUCCUUCAACCCCAACAGAACCUGCUAUAGGCCCGCAGUCGCAGUGCACCGAAUAUUCCACGUGCAGCUCGACGCCACGUGACUAUGUCGGCGACUGGGCUAAGAAAAGGGAUAGCUGGUUCCAUGCCCAAAAACGUAAUAGGAAUAGACCAUCGUACCCCAUUUAUGGACGAACUGGAUUGGUGACCCUCAAAAAGCGCUCCAAGGCCGAGAGGGCGCUUGAGAUGCAAUUCAUUAAAUCGGUUAAGAAACAUUUAAAUUCUACAUUCAAAGCUAUACUGUCGGAGACUGCACAUGCCAGACAAUCAACAGACAUCCAAAAUUAAAAAAACCUUCGUGUAAAUUAUGAAAUAGUAAGACUAUUUCAUGCAGCUUGGUGGCAAAUACAUAUUGAUUUUGGGGGUGCUGGUCAACUUGGCGGUCAUUGCAUACCAUUCUCAUCUUUUUAGUACAGAGACUUUCGAAACACGCUAUGAGGAAAAGAUGAGCCGUGCGUCGUGAGAUCUUUUAGGAUGUCAGGAACUUUCAAUCUCUUUUAUAAUUUUCGAUUAAAUAUGGAGCUACCAAUAAAAAGAGCCCACAUUCCUGUU